rnacentral:rRNA from 1 species
GCCUAACACAUGCAAGUCGAACGAAGUAGCAAUACUUAGUGGCAGACGGGUGAGUAACAUGUAGGUAUCUACCCUAUGGCCUGGAAUAACACGAGGAAACUUGUGCUAAUACCGGAUAAGUCUUUACGGAGAAAGCUUUAUGCACCAUUGGAUGAGCCUGCACUUGAUUAGUUUGUUGGUGGGGUAAUGGCCUACCAAGACUGUGAUCAAUAGCUGAUUUGAGAGGAUGAUCAGCCACAUUGGGACUGAGACACGGCCCAAACUCCUACGGGAGGCAGCAGUGGGGAAUCUUGCACAAUGGAGGAAACUCUGAUGCAGCGAUGCCGCGUGAGUGAAGAAGGCCUUUGGGUUGUAAAGCUCUUUCGUCGGGGAAGAAAAUGACUGUACCCGAAUAAGAAGGUCCGGCUAACUUCGUGCCAGCAGCCGCGGUAAUACGAAGGGACCUAGCGUAGUUCGGAAUUACUGGGCUUAAAGAGUUCGUAGGUGGUUGAAAAAGUUGGUGGUGAAAUCCCAGAGCUUAACUCUGGAACUGCCAUCAAAACUUUUCAGCUAGAGUAUGAUAGAGGAAAGCAGAAUUUCUAGUGUAGAGGUGAAAUUCGUAGAUAUUAGAAAGAAUACCAAUUGCGAAGGCAGCUUUCUGGAUCAUUACUGACACUGAGGAACGAAAGCAUGGGUAGCGAAGAGGAUUAGAUACCCUCGUAGUCCAUGCCGUAAACGAUGUGUGUUAGACGUUGGAAAUUUAUUUUCAGUGUCGCAGUGAAAGCGAUAAACACACCGCCUGGGGAGUACG